UGUUUCUCUAAAUCACAUUUAUUCAUUCACUCAUUCAAAAGACACUUCUCAAGCUGCUUUAAUGCAAGGAGCUGUUAUGCUAGAGCCAUGUGUGGCACUGUCGUGUGACCCUAUUUUGCCCUACCAAAGGCAGGUUUAUAGAAAUGGCAGAGCCAUCUCCAGCAGCAGAGGAGAACAUUGAUGUAUCUACCAUGUUCUUGUGGUUGUCCUCUUGGACCUAGUGAGCAGCUUUGGGAGGGAGUGACGUGGAGCAGUGAGGGAGGAAGAGGACAUGCACCUAGCCAGCCAUAUCAGCCAAAUCAACCCUGGUGAUCAAUGAGACUUAACACAUCACACUUCCUGUUUUUAACCACCAACCCACAUUCCCAGUUAAAAAUUAUAAUGUUGAAAUGAUGAUAGUUCCAAGAGAUGGCCCAAGAAUGACAGUAAAACCACAAAAACAGAGUUUUCCAAGAUUAUCAGAGAACUGCGGUGGAAGUUAAACUAAGGACGGUCAUGUCUUUCUGAACAAAACAUUUGCUUGGAUACAUUGUGGUAAGAAUUGCUUCGGGGAAGCUGUGUGUGUGUGUGUGUGUGUGUGUGUGUGUGUGUGUAUUCAAAACUAGCUUCUCGGGCCAUCAGCCUGCAGUGUUGCUUGUUUCUGCAACAACGUGGGCCAUAUUCAGUUUGAUCCAACUACAGGUGGGAAGAAGAACCAAAU
rnacentral:lncRNA from 1 species